rnacentral:rRNA from 1 species
UGCAAGUCGAGCGGUAACAGGAGAGCUUGCUCUCGCUGACGAGCGGCGGACGGGUGAGUAACGCGUAGGAAUCUACCCAAUAGGCGGGGGAUAGGCCCGGGAAACUCGGAUUAAUACCGCAUACCGCCCACGGGGGAAAGGCCGGGAUCUUCGGACCGGUCACUAUUGGAGGAGCCUGCGUAGGAUUAGCUAGUUGGUGAGGUAAAGGCUCACCAAGGCGACGAUCCUUAGCUGGUCUGAGAGGACGAUCAGCCACACUGGAACUGAGACACGGUCCAGACUCC